GACGAACGCUGGCGGCGGGCUUAACACAUGCAAGUCGAACGGAAAGGCCCUGAGUGUGUGGGGUGCUGGAGGGGCGAAGGGGGGAGUAAGACGUGAGUAACCUGCCCUUGACUUUGGGAGAACUUCAGGAAACGGGGGCUAAUACCGGAUAGGAGAUCCUGCUGCAGGGUGGGGGGUGGAAAGUUGCGGCGGGUGGGGAUGGACUCGCGGCUGAUGAGCUUGUUGGUGGGGUAGGGGCUUACCAAGGCAUUGACGGGUAGGCGGCCGGGGAGGGUGACCGGCCACAUUGCGCCUGAGAUACGGCCCAGACUCCUACGGUAGGCAGCAGUGGCGAAUCUUGCACAAUGGGCGGAAGUCUGAUGCAGCAACGCCGCGUGCGGGAUGCCCGCCUUCGGGUUGUAAACCGCUUUCGCCUGUGACGAAGCGUGAGUGACGGUACUGGGUAAAGAAGCACCGGCUAACUACGUG
rnacentral:rRNA from 1 species